AUUGAACGCUGGCGGCAGGCUUAACACAUGCAAGUCGAACGAGUGGCGGACGGGUGAGUAAUGCUUGGGAAUCUAGCUUAUGGAGGGGGAUAACUACGGGAAACUGUAGCUAAUACCGCGUACCAUAGGAUGAGCCCAAGUGGGGUUAGGUAGUUGGUGGGGUAAAGGUUCAACAAGCGGUCGAUCUCUAGCUGGUCUGAGAGGAUGACCAGCCACCCUGGACCUGAGACACGGCCCAGAAUCCUACGGGAGGCAGCAGUGGGGAAUAUUGCACAAGGGGCGCAAGCCUGAUGCAGCCAUGCCGCGUGGAUGAAGAAGGCCUUCGGGUUGUAAAGUACUUUCAGUCGGGAGGCGUUACCGACAGAAGAAGCACCGGCUAACUCCGUGCCAGCAGCCGCGGUAAUUC
rnacentral:rRNA from 1 species